rnacentral:rRNA from 1 species
AUAUCAAUAAGCGGAGGAAAAGAAACCAACCGGGAUUGCCCUAGUAACGGCGAGUGAAGCGGCAAGAGCUCAAAUUUGAAAGCUGGCCCCCUCGGGGUCCGCAUUGUAAUUUGCAGAGGAUGCUUCGGGAGCGGUCCCCAUCUAAGUGCCCUGGAACGGGCCGUCAUAGAGGGUGAGAAUCCCGUAUGGGAUGGGGUGCCCGCGCCCGUGUGAAGCUCCUUCGACGAGUCGAGUUGUUUGGGAAUGCAGCUCUAAUUGGGUGGUAAAUUUCAUCUAAAGCUAAAUAUUGGCCGGAGACCGAUAGCGCACAAGUAGAGUGAUCGAAAGAUGAAAAGCACUUUGAAAAGAGAGUUAAACAGCACGUGAAAUUGUUGAAAGGGAAGCGCUUGCGAUCAGACUCGCCCACGGGGCUCAGCCGGCAUUCGUGCCGGUGUACUUCCCCGCGGGCGGGCCAGCGUCGGUUUGGGCGGUCGGUCAAAGGCCCCUGGAAUGUAACGCCUCUCGGGGCGUCUUAUAGCCAGGGGUGCCAUGCGACCUGCCCGGACCGAGGAACGCGCUUCGGCUCGGACGCUGGCAUAAUGGUCGUAAGCGA